UUCUGUGUGACUGACGGAUUUGUGGAGCUUACCACAAUGGAGCACAGAAAGUAUUUUGCCGACCGUCUGGGCAGCCUU
rnacentral:ncRNA from 1 species